rnacentral:rRNA from 1 species
GUGGGGAAUAUUGGACAAUGGGCGAAAGCCUGAUCCAGCCAUGCCGCGUGUGUGAAGAAGGUCUUCGGAUUGUAAAGCACUUUAAGUUGGGAGGAAGGGCAGUAAGUUAAUACCUUGCUGUUUUGACGUACCGACAGAAUAAGCACCGGCUAACUUCGUGCCAGCAGCCGCGGUAAUACGAAGGGUGCAAGCGUUAAUCGGAAUUACUGGGCGUAAAGCGCGCGUAGGUGGUUUUGUAAGUUGGAGGUGAAAUCCCCGGGCUCAACCUGGGAACUACCUCAAAAACUGCAUGACUAGAGUACGGUAGAGGGUAGUGGAAUUUCCUGUGUAGCGGUGAAAAGCGUAGAUAUAGGAAGGAACACCAGUGGCGAAGGCGACUACCUGGACUGAUACUGACACUGAGGUGCGAAAGCGUGGGGAGCAAACAGGAUUAGAAACCCCGGUAGUCC